UAAAACUGUUUAAGUAGAAAUGAAGAUGGCAGAAAAAGAUGCUCUUCAAGAGUGAAGCCAGAUAUUUUACAUUUGAGCAAUCAGAAAACUCUCAGGCAUAAUUGUCAAGAAAAUCAUCACAAGGAUAACAGAACACUGGAAUCUGGACCUGGAGUGUGUUAAUUCCUGUGAGGACAACAACUUUAAGUCACAAUGAAACAGUUCUUCCCCCACGCCAUGUGGCCCGACCAAAGCACACCCCAUACUGCUGAGCCUCUCCUGUGGUGUGAGGAUGAAGUGGCCUCGCUGGAUUAUGUUGUCUUGUUGGAGCUACUAGAGCAGGGACUCAAAAGCCACAGGGGGACUUGUUGAUACUUUGUUUGGAAAACUGAAGUUUCGAUUUUUUUGGGAAACAGAGUAGAGCAAGAAGAGCUGCAUGGAGUUUAGUCAAAUGCUUUGCCAGAUAGCUGGGGUAUGUAUUUACUGAGCCUCCAAUUAAUUAAGCCAAACUUAAUUGGGACUAAAAGUGCAGACUGUAACAACUGACAAAAUGCAAAAGUAUGCAAAGUUGUUAAUUGUACUAUAAAAUAACACACCAACUUGUUUUCCGAUAUUUUACUUAGCAUUUUACUCAAGAAUGGCUAAAAUUUUCAUGUCCCCUGUGAAGGAAUCAGAUAUUUAUAGAAAAGUAAUAGUUUAGUAAUAGAGUAAUAAAUAUACAGUCAUGAGAGUAGUGACGAGUCUUUCCAUGGCUAUAUAGUCAUUUCUGUUGUUCUCAACAUAUGAUGUACUAUACCUUAAAAUUUUAUAGGCUUGUUUUAAAUAACUUGUGAAAAGAGUAGCAAUUAUGAGUUAUUUGGUUAAAUAAGUUGAUUUGUACAUCCCAGUAGCUGCUUACUCCAUAAUGCUGUUUUUUUUUACAUUUGCCUUGUAGUAACUAUAGAUUUCUUUGGAACGUUUGUGUUCGUAUUCAUACAACAUGAUGAGCUUGGAGGAAAAUUUAUGUGUAUUGAAGUUGGUGUAUAUGUUUAAUAAUAAAUUAAUUUUUAAUGUCUUACCAUC